AUCGAACGCUGGCGGCCGGCCUAACACAUGCAAGUCGAACGAGUGGCGGACGGGUGAGUAAUGUCUGGGAAACUGCCUGAUGGAGGGGGAUAACUACUGGAAACGGUAGCUAAUACCGCAUACCAUCAGAUGUGCCCAGAUGGGAUUAGCUUGUUGGUGGGGUAACGGCUCACCAAGGCGACGAUCCCUAGCUGGUCUGAGAGGAUGACCAGCCACACUGAAACUGAGGCACGGUCCUGACUCCUACGUGAGGCAGCAGUGGAGAAUAUUGCGAAAUGGGCGAAAGCCUGAUGCAGCGAUGCCGCGUGUAUGAAGAGGGCCUUCGGGUUUUAAGGUACUUUCAGCGGGGAGGCGUUACCCGCAGAAGAAGCACCGGCUAACUCCGUGCCAGCAGCCGCGGUAAUUC
rnacentral:rRNA from 1 species